rnacentral:rRNA from 1 species
UACGUAGGUGGCAAGCGUUGUCCGGAAUUAUUGGGCGUAAAGCGCGCGCAGGCGGCCUCUUAAGUCUGAUGUGAAAGCCCACGGCUCAACCGUGGAGGGUCAUUGGAAACUGGGGGACUUGAGUGCAGGAGAGAAGAGUGGAAUUCCACGUGUAGCGGUGAAAUGCGUAGAGAUGUGGAGGAACACCAGUGGCGAAGGCGACUCUUUGGCCUGUAACUGACGCUGAGGCGCGAAAAGCGUGGGGAGCAAACAGG